rnacentral:rRNA from 1 species
UGGGGAAUUUUGGACAAUGGGCGAAAGCCUGAUCCAGCAAUGCCGCGUGCAGGAUGAAGGCCCUCGGGUUGUAAACUGCUUUUGUACGGAACGAAAAGCCUGGGGCUAAUAUCCCCGGGUCAUGACGGUACCGUAAGAAUAAGCACCGGCUAACUACGUGCCAGCAGCCGCGGUAAUACGUAGGGUGCAAGCGUUAAUCGGAAUUACUGGGCGUAAAGCGUGCGCAGGCGGUUUUGUAAGACAGUGGUGAAAUCCCCGGGCUCAACCUGGGAACUGCCAUUGUGACUGCAAGGCUAGAGUGCGGCAGAGGGGGAUGGAAUUCCGCGUGUAGCAGUGAAAUGCGUAGAUAUGCGGAGGAACACCGAUGGCGAAGGCAAUCCCCUGGGCCUGCACUGACGCU